AGGGUGACCUCUUCUUGGAAUGGCUCUGCACCACCCCCCAGAUCCCUCCGCUGCCCAGUUCUGAGCCCCAGGAGGCUGACCUCUGCAGAAUGUAUUACCCUGGUGCCCUGUCUGGUGGAUUUCUGGUUAAAUUCAGCCAACCUGCGAGACUGGUGGGAGAUUGGAGGGCAGGAAGAAAGAGAAAGAGUGGUUUAUAAAAUAAUGGUAUGUCUUUCAGUCAUUGACAUCCUAGAUUUGCGAAAUGUGACCAUAGGCCUUCCUUCACCCCCUACCUCCAUAUAAAAAAAGGCCCAUUUGAGACGUUCAGCUUUGAAGAGAAAAGGUUGUGUCCGGCAACUCCACCUCCAAUCAAUCAUUAGGACUUACUCCACACCCAGCACUGUUCUAGGAGCUGGCACUAGUGACCUAAUUCUUGAACUCAAUCAAUGUGCAGCUUCUUGGUCAGGUGCAAACAAUGCAAGAAGCUCAGGCGGAGGGGUGAGCUCUGGAGCAGGAACCUGGAGAGCAGGGUUCUAGGCUGAACUCUGCCCCAGGCAAGUCACUGUGCUUCUCAGGGCCUCAUCUGUAAAAUGAGGCAUUUAAACUAAACCUCUGAGGUCCCUUAUUACUUUUCUUCAUCCAUGGAAAUAAUUAACAAAAUAUAAUCAAAGUGAGGCAUUAAAGAAUGUAGCAGAGACAGUGCUUGUGUGCCUACCAAGUGGGUUCCUUUUCCUGCUGGCCAGGUAGCUCAGCCACAUGUCCUGGUGUCCCCAGUAGGUAAAUAGGGCCAGGUGACUGAUUCCUGGCGAAGGGAACAUGCUCAGAAACUUGGUGUGCUCCUCUCGGACCUGGCCCCUGAAACAUGCCGGUGAGAUCCUAGACUCUCCUUGCCCUUCCGUGGUGCCCUCAGAGGCCACAGACUGAAGAUGGCUCUGCCAUGAUGGAAAGUGCUUCAUUCCUGGGUCGUCUUCUGGGAAGAUGCUGCCCAACCUACGUGGACUGUGAUGUGAGCAAGAAUCACAUUACCAGCGUUUUAAGCUGCUCAGAUUUUGUUUUGUUUGUUUGAAUAAUUAGCCUACCCUGAAUAAACCAAAAAGCAAAAUAAGGGUUCAACAACAAUCCCUCAGACGUAGGAAAGAUCAGAGGAGAACACAUGGACCGAGGCCCUGCAGGCACAGACAAAGGAUAAGGGAGACAGUCCAGCUCUGGCAGGAGCACAAGGAUUCAGAAUUUGGAGAUUUGGAUGUGGUUUGUUCUGAGAGUUGGAGAUGAGUAUUUAGUGUAAUAACCCACCCGCACAUUCCUUCCCCACACACAUCCACCCCCAAAGAUCUCCAUCAUCCAAUAGUAUCACCAGGAAAUAUACAAAUAACUCUGAAUGGAUCCACCAAUGUGGCAACAAAACAUGCAUUACCCAUUACCGUAAAGGAGCUGAGGCGGAGGACAGCCUGAGUGCAUUGACCGUGCAGGUGCUGACAGUUAACACUCACCUGAGAUCAAUCUUCACUAAUAAAUCAGCCAUCCCAGACCAAGAAGAGGAGGCAAAGCAGGGCUUAGACGGGGUGGGUGAAAUCCCAUCUUGCCAGGGUUCUCCCAUGAAGGAGGCAGGACCUAAGACCCCCUCUGUGCUGUCAACAGGCCGCAUUAGCACCGGGGAGGAGAAGCCACAUCCACCAAGCACUGCUGGAGGCCCCACCCCCAAAGCUGGGUUCAUCCCAGCCUCUGAAUUCCUGCACCUUCUGGGAGGAAUGUCAGCCAUCUAAACAAGACUUUGCCAGCACUUUAUUGUAACUUCAGACCCAGAAACGAUGAGCAUGGUGUUUGUUGUGUUUUCUGCUGUGUC
rnacentral:lncRNA from 1 species